UUUUCUGUAGCUUAAUUUGGUAAAGCAGACCGCUCAUAAUGGUUUGAGUGUUGGUUCAAUUCCAGCCAGAAACA
rnacentral:tRNA from 1 species